CGAGAACUUGGUGAGUAAAACGUCGCCAAUUCCCAGCGUUGCAGCUACAACAGGAAGGAAGCGCGUACAUAAAUUGCCUUUCGUCGCGCGGCCUUUUCCGGUGAAGGCUUUUCAAUGUGAAGGUAGCGAGCGAGCACACAAGUUAGGCUGGAGUUGUUUUUCCUGUAUUCGGGAUUCAAGAAGGCACGCAAGGUCAUCAUUUCUAUUUACAAGAUAACAGAACAGAGAAAGUUGUCACUGUAGCGAAAUAUUAAAAGUGCCACAGAGACGGGAAAAGGCGCUGCGGCAGAACUUGUGGUCAGGGCCGGAAAGCUGAGGAGAUUCCCAGUAGAACGAGGCGGGAUGGGUCGGCACCCGAAGUGCUGGACAGUCUCGCAUGGACGGCACCGGAGCCGUAAUGGAAAUCCGGUUGACGGAGGGGGCCCGUCUCACUUGUCCAUCGGCAACUUCCCGGGUUCUUCCUCACAUGUUGGCGCCUCCCACCGAGGAGAUGACCGUGUGACCGGUCCUUGAAUAUUUUCAAGUCCUUCUUUAUGACGUGCAGUACAUUUCAAUUGGAACAUACUUCAUGCAUUCAACUUUUGCAACCUACAUUCUUGCUGAUAUGUAUGGAAGCUUAUUGCAAAAAAAAUAAAAAAAAUAAAAAAUAAACAACUCCUGA